AAGAAAAACAAAAGAAAAGAGAAAACAAAAGACUAGCCCUUCUUCUUGAGCUUCUCUGGUAGCAUGAUCAUCUCCCACAUCCUCUUCUUCAUCAACUCUUAAGACCGACGCCCAUUCAGAUCCUUGGAAGUUUGAGCAUGGUGGAGAGGAACUAUAGUUAUCAACUUGAGUUUGCGAGUUAGCGAAAUUCGAUUUGUGAAAUCGUCCAUUUCAAAGUGUCUUUUUGAAGAAACUAGUUGGGACUUUCAUCCAACAGCUUAUCGGCUGAAAGAAAACUCGCAGCUUUCGGCAUCUUACAAUACACAACUCUGGUGUGUGCGAGAUGGACACUAUUCAAUAGCUACGAUGAGCACCGAGCAGCAGAAUGCUUCUUCGUCCUCUUACCGGUGCACAUAUGAUGCAUUCUUAAGUUUCAGAGGUGCAGAUACACGCAAGGGUUUUGCAGAUCACCUCUACAGUGCUUUGGAGUUGGCAGGAAUCCACACUUUUAGAGAUGAUGAUGAAAUUGAGGGAGGAGCAAACAUCGAACAGGAGCUACAGACAGCAAUACAAGAGUCACGAGUAUCAGUCAUUGUUUUUUCCACGGACUACGCCUCUUCCACGUGGUGCCUGAAUGAACUUGCUAUCAUCAUGGAACGUACAAAAACAGAUGGACACAAGGUUGUGCCAGUUUUCUAUGAUGUGGAACCAUCAGAUGUUAGGAAACAGACGGGCAGUUUUGCAGACUCAUUUACUAUACAUGAACAGCGCUUCAAGGACAAGAUAGACAAGGUGGAGGAGUGGAGACGAGCUCUUAGAGAAGUAACAGACCUGGGAGGGAUGGUUUUAGGAGAACGGUACGAGUCGCACUUUAUCCAAGAUAUUGUUGAAGCUUUUGGAAAUAAACUGGACUACAUGAACAUGUGGAAUAGGAGAUUAAGAGUUGAUCCCUAUGUAAUUGGAAGAGAUUAUUAUGUGGAAAGCCUGAACACCUGGCUAGAAGAUGGAUCAAAUGAUGUUGGAGUAGCUGUCAUCCAUGGAAUGGGUGGAAUAGGCAAGACCACCAUUGCUAAAAUUGCUUAUAACCAGAACUUCUCUAAAUUUCAAGCUAGCAGCUUUCUAUCAGAUAUUAGGGAAACUUCCAAACAAGCCAAUGGUUUUGUUCACUUGCAGAGGAACCUUCUUUCCGAUAUCCAAAAGAGGAAAGUGAACAAUAUAUACAGCCAUGAUGAAGGUAUAGUAAAGAUCAAACGGGCUGUACGUUGCAAAAGAGUUCUUAUUGUUCUCGAUGAUGUUGAGAACUUGGAACAGUUCAAUGUGAUUCUUGGAAUGCGAGACUGGCUCCAUCCUGGAAGUAAAAUUAUCAUAACAACUAGACAUGAACAUUUGUUAAGGGCUGAAGUUUGUGUAAGGUUUAAGGUUGAAGGAUUACCUGAGCAUCAAUCACUUAAGCUUUUCAGUUGGCAUGCCUUUGGACAAACCCAUCCUCAAGAAGGUUACAUGGAGCUUUCAAGACCUGUAGUAGAACAUUGUGGAGGGGUUCCAUUAGCUCUUCAAGUUCUGGGAUCUUCUCUAUUUGGAAAAACAGUAGAUGUAUGGAAAAAUGCAUUUCACAACCUAGACGUGAUUACUGAGGGAAAAAUUCAAAAGAUUCUUGGCAUAAGUUUUCAUUCUUUACAAGAUCAUGAUAAACGUUUAUUCCUCCACAUAGCCUGUUUCUUCGUAGGGAAGGACAAGGAUUUUACAACUACAAUCCUUGACGAAUGUGAUUUUGCCACAGAGGUUGGACUUCAACAUCUGGUUGAUAGAUACCUUGUGGAAAUUAAUGUCCACAACAAGUUAAUCGUGCAUCAAUUACUUCAAGACAUGGGAAGGGCAAUAAUUCAUGAAGAAUCAUCUGAGGACCCUGGAAAGCGCACUAGACUGUGGCAUAAAGAUGCAUUUAACGUUUUGACAAAAUUAACGGGUACGAGAACUAUCAAGGGCUUCAUGCUCCACUUUCUCCCAACAGAUUCAUCUCCGGUAAAUGAGGUAGGUUUCGAAACAAAGGCAUUCACAGAGAUGCUCAAUCUUGAACUACUUCUGCUUGAUAAUGUAAAGUUGAGUGGAAGCUAUGAAGAUUUUCCAAAAAAAUUAAUAUGGUUGUCUUGGAGAGGAUUGUCUUUAAAAUCAAUACCGGCCAAUUUUUGUUUGGAAAAUCUAGUUGCUCUAGACUUACGGAAGAGCAGUCUGCAACGUGUUUGGAAAGGAACCAGGUUUCUUACAAGAUUGAAAAUUCUUAAUCUCAGUCAUUCACAUGGCCUUUGGACAACAUCUGACUUGUCCGGACUCCCUAACCUUGAGAAACUAAUUCUUAAGGAUUGCAUUAAUUUGGUUGAGGUUGAUGAAUCCAUUGGAAACUUGGGGAAACUUGUUUUCUUGAAUCUAAAAGACUGCAAAAGUCUUAUGAAGCUUCCAAAAAGAAUGAGCAUGAUGAGGUCUCUUGAGGAACUUAUUCUUACCGGUUGCUCAAAGCUUGUGCUUCAUGAUAGUGCCAUGGUUAUUUAUAUUCACACUACAUCAAGGGAUAUGAAUAAACUUAGACUGUUGUCAACUAUAUCAUGGACACCAAUCAGGUUUUGGUGGAUGUGGGCAUGGCCAAGAAAGACUCUUCAAUCAACCAGUUUCUCACUGGCAAGUUUACCACGUUGUUUGGGAAGCUUAAGUCUGUCUUACUGCAACGUGUCAGAGGUUCCCAAUGAUUUAUGUACACUAUCUUCCUUGAAAUAUUUGAAUCUAAUUGGUAACUCAAUUUUGUGCCUACCACAAAACAUGAAGAGUCUUAUUAUGCUCGAGACUCUUUUGUUAGAUAAAUCCAUAAACCUUGAAAUGCUUCCAGAGCUGCCCCCAAGGUUGAAGAGGUUGGAAACAAAAUAUUGUACAUCAUUGAAAAGAUUAACAAAUUUACCAUUGUUCAGAUCAUUAGAAUCACUGUUUUGGGGUUGCGAGCAAUUAGUUGAAAUUGAAAGCUUGUUGAAUAUAAAACCGUCGAGAAGCGCUGAUAUAGAAAUGAGAAGAUAUAUGGGCCCGUUCAAUUUGAAAUCCAUAACAAGCACUGAUGUUGAAAUGAUCAACUACUUGACCAGUACAACUAGGAAGGUUCCUGUCCAGGGAGUCUAUGAAUGUGGCGUAUAUAGCAUUUUCCUUCCUGGAAGCAAGAUUCCAGAUGGAUUUGGCUUCACAACAAUAUAUGGAUCAGCGCUGUCGGCUAUUGCAUCUUCACAUCCUAAUCUCAAAAUCCAAGCCUUGAAUGUAUGUGUUUUAUAUGCAAUAGAACCGGGCUUGGCAAUUGAUGACUAUCUUGUUAGUGCUCAGCAUUUGAUUAAAGUCAGUAAUCAGACCAAGGGUCUUAUGUGGACCUAUUCCCCAGUCACAGUAGGUUUUCCAACUGAGAAGGAAGAUAUGUUAUGGCUAAGCCAUUUUCAAAUUGGGAACAAUGAAUUGGAGUAUGGGGACCAAAUACGUGUUUCGGUGGAGAUGCAUGAUUUUUGGAUAAAGGAGUUCGGAAUCCAGCUUGUGUACGAGCAGGAAAGACCUCCUUCUAGCCAGAAUAAUGUUGUUGCUGGAGAUGUGUCAAUGUCAGCAUCAGAGUACCAAAUGUGGACAGGAAAAUACUUUAAUCAUAGGCACCGUACUCAUCAAACUCAAUUCCGAAAGAGACAGGAGAAUCCAGCACAUAUUGAAUUUUCGUUUGAGCCAAAGCAUCAGCUUCAUACUUAUUCAAGGCCCAAAGACCAUUGAAAAUAUUUUGAAACUUAGAGCAUGUCCAGCAGAUUCCCCAUCUACUUCUACUCACCUAUUUUGGAGAAAAUGAAGAGAAACCUCCCUCCUUAGUUCUUUUUCCAACAUCAUUCGUUCAUGGUUGGAAGGAAAGAUCAGCAUCAAUUAUCUUGGGCGUGUCAGCAUGUCAGAGUGUCUGACACUUUGAGGUUUGGGAGUGUCCGUGCAACCUAGGCUUCAAGAACGAGAUGGACAAGGUGGAGAAGUGGAGAAGAGCGCUUACUGAUGUUGCAAAUCUGGGAGGGAUGGUUCUAGAAGAUCGGGUAUGAGUGGCAGUUUAUCCAAGAUAUUGUUCAAGAGGUUGGAAGUAAGCUGGAUCGCGUGGCAGUAAAUGUUGCUCCCUAUGAUGUUGGAAUCGAUAUUUGUGUGCACGGAAUCAACAGAUGGUUAGAAGAUGAUUCGGGUGAUGCUGGUGCAGCGGUUAUCUAUGGGAUGGGUGGAAUUGGCAAAACCACCAUUGCCAAAGCUGCUAAUAAGACGAACCUUGCAAAAUUUUAAGGAAACGGCAGCUUUCUUGCAGAUAUUGGCUUGCAAAUAAAUCUUCUUUCCGAUAUCCAAAGGGUGAAAGUAAAGAAAAUAAGCAAACAUGAAGGACUAAUCAAGAUUAUGCAUGCUGUAGGUUGCAAUAGAGUUCUUAUAGUUCUUGAUGAUGUGAACCAUUUGGACCAAUUCAAUGC